UACGUAGGGUCCAAGCGUUGUCCGGAUUUAUUGGGCGUAAAGAGCUCGUAGGCGGUUCGAUAAGUCGGACGUGAAAUCUCCACGCUCAACGUGGAGGGGCCGUUCGAUACUGUCGUGACUUGAGUCCGGUAGGGGAGUGUGGAAUUCCCGGUGUAGCGGUGAAAUGCGCAGAGAUCGGGAGGAACACCCGUAGCGAAGGCGGCACUCUGGGCCGGUACUGACGCUGAGGAGCGAAAGCGUGGGGAGCAAACAGG
rnacentral:rRNA from 1 species